UACUAACUUCAUACAUGUGUAAAGUCAUAGUACACUCUAAAGCAAACUGAUCUGCAAGUAUUUACAAGAUAGAUCUACAAGAUGAGAUGCAAACUUUCUAUAAUUUCAUGUAAUAUUUUGUUGGUGCUCCAGCAGCUGGUGUCUGGACAGCAGUGUGGUACAGUCGGUCGUGUGGGCAGUACAAGGACUGGUGCAAUGGAGAAUAGAGCAAGAAACGAGUUCUACAUUGAUCGUGGUAAUCGUGCUGGAUGUGCUGGGAUGAUCACCUCACUCUCUUACUGUUUCCAUCGACCACCAUUGACUGUUCCAGUUGCUAACGAGUACCUGACUCAGUUGCGGUGUACAGACCAGCGAGCACCAACACAAAUGAGAAUGUAUUUACUGUUGUUUCUUCACCGAUCACAAUACAAAAACCAUUUGUAGAGCUUCUAACUGAAUUAAACGCUGCUACUGAUACGAACUUUUCCUGCUCUGUAUUUAACCUACCACAACCAGUAGCCAUGGAGACUGGUGAUGUUCUUGGAGCGUGUGUGUUUGACCCUGAUGAUACUACAAGUGGUGUCACUACCUACCGUCUUGACAUAGUCAGCAGAGCUGCUUUAGGAAGUGAAGACCUUGUGAGAACAAACACAGAUCCCAGUAGCCCACCUGCUGGCUGCAGUGCUACUACUGUGCCAGGUUCUUUUGAUAGAGGCGCAUCUGGUACUGGCUCUAGAUCUAGUACUUCAAGGUCCCUUCACCUCUGGGCAAACAUAGAAGUGGCUACAACUGAAGCACCUACAAUGGUAAAAACUACUACUACUAUGGAAGUGACUACAAUUGGAGCGACUACAUCUGAACCGACUGAGGACACCACGACUAUCAUGGAAGUGACUACCAUGGAAGCGACUACUAUGGAAGCGACUACAAUGGAAGUGACUACAUCUUCCACAACUACAUCUGAACCGACUGAGGACACCACCACUCCCGAAGACGUCACAACAGACAUGACCACAGCAGGUGGUCCACUGAUUACUGAUGGGGACUCUACUACUUCCACCACAAACCAAGGGACAACGAGCAACCCUGAUGCCAACACUGCACAACCCAUUGGUGGUGAGGGAGGUGGUUCUAACGUAGCAACUGUUGCCAUUGCUGUGGUAGUUGCACUCAUUAUUGUGAUUGCUUUAGUUGCCAUACUAAUACUUGUGUUGUUAAGGCGACGAUCGAAAGCAUUGCACUCAAUAAAAAACAGUGAAGUACCUGACAAAUCUGGGAGGGAAACUGCUGUUGACUUGAAGUCCAACGAAACUUACGGUAUUCAUGGUGAGCCUCGAGACACUCCCACAGACUAUGAGAAUCCUUUUGGUGAAUGCUCGCCUAGUCAGCAAUCUGUAGAAGUAGCCAUAGAUCUGUGCAUGAUCUUUACAAAUGGAUUCACUGUUUGUGAAAGGGUUUAAAAAAAGCAUUGUUCACAUGUACGUUCAUUGCUUAAUUGUAUACACAAAAUUAGCCUUCAUUCUAUCGGUUUAAAUUCCAACGAGGCUUAUGGUGAAACUCGAGACACUCCCACAGACUACUACGAUCAUGUUCUUAAAGAAUUCAAAGACAACCAUCAACAACUCAACAACCCAAUGAUGUGACAUAUGAGGAAGUACCAGGACCUAUACAUUACAACGAUCCCUGUCAGCCGAUACCUUUAGAAAACAAUGAAGCUUAUGGUGUCCACAAAUCUGCACAAAUGGCUGAAACAUGCUCACAAGAAGUUGACCUAAAGUCCAACGAGGCGUAUGGUGUGAGAGGGGAGGUGCAAGUUGCUGCCAUUAAUGGGACAACAACUGACGCAGUGUGCUAUAGUGUCAUUGACUCACCUGGUCAGCAAUAUGCAGAGAUAGUAAGUGGAAUUGAAAUUCGGAUGGACAGCAAUGAAGCAUAUGGCACAUCUGAGAGAGAUAGAGAAACUGAGGAAACACUUGACUAUGAUUAUGCUUUUCUGUAAACUAAAUCAUGCACUGCCGCGGAACCAACUAUCAAUGAAUACAAAUAUGGUUUGAUUUUAAAAUAUUGUCUGUAAUAAUCUUUACAUGCCGUAUACAUGUAGCGGGGAAUUUUCGUG